AAGGUGCCAGACGAGGAAAGUCCGGGCUUCGCAGGGCAGGAUGCCGGAUAACGUCCGGUGGAGGCGACUCCAAGGAUAGUGCAACAGAAAUGAACCGCCCGGUUUGACCGGGUAAGGGUGGAAGGGCAGUGUAAGAGACUACCGCCUUCCUGGUAACAGGAGGGGCAUAUGUAAACCCCAUCCGAAGCAAGACCGAACAGGAGCAUAUGGCGGCCCGUCAGCUCCAGGUGGGUUGCUCGAGCCUGGCGGCAACGCCAGGCCUAGAUAGAUGAUUAUUCACGACAUAACCCGGCUUAUCGUUCUGCUUAU
rnacentral:RNase_P_RNA from 1 species